CCAUCAACAGAGUGUGGUCAACUUACCUGAGGCCACACUGUUAAAGAAAACCAAAUUUUCCUUUUCUAGGCUUAGGGAUCAUAUUGGAAGAGGAGGCAGAAAGAUUGAAAGAGCCAGGAGUGAUGGAUGACUACAAUCAAGCAGUGUUUCUAGACACAACAGGGCAGUUACACUAUGAAGGUGUGAGUGCAUGAGUACAGACACCCCCAGAUACCAGAAGAGGACAAUGGAUUCCUUGGAGAUGAAGUUACAGCAUGUUGGUCCUGUCAUGGGUCUGCCAUAAUAUGAUGCCCAGCCUAGCCUGCUACAGGGAUGUGAGACAUAGAAGAGCCAGGCUGUUGAAGUUAAGGUUACCCUAGAUCAGCCGUGCCAUGGCUGGCCAGAGUGACAAUCUCCCUGUUUCAGCCUCCUCUUCUGGGAUUAGGUGUGCUAGAAUAGCCAGCAAGUCAGAAAACUGAAUCUGCAAAGAGAAGAUGGAGGGACUGAGCAGAUCAGUGGUUAGCAUCAAUUAUGACCUCUGUGGGUCACCUUGGGACCCAGAAAAUUGCCAUGGCUGCUGAGAAUUAGAAGUCUUGCUUUUAUAACAGAGUCUGAAGGAGGUCUUCCAAAGCAGAAGGUGUGGUGAGUCCAUGCUCAGAGAACAGCAGGCUACUUCAGUUCUGCAUAAUUCACUGGGUUCUUCAUUUUCAAAUAUGUUUUUCCUUGAGAAUUCAGCUAUUAAGUCCCCACUGGUUUAGAUAGAUAUGAAACAUUGAACAUCCAUUUGCUUUUGAGCCCUCAGUGAAUAGCCAAGAGGAUGUUCCUUUAGAAAAUAUAUAUUUUAUUCUGUCCAUUGCAUCUAAAUGAAUCAGCAGCAAAGCUGUGUUUAUUCAAAUCCAUAUGCAAAUAUUGACUUAUGCCUUGCAAUGAAGUAAGCUUCAUAGCUUUUAGAAGAAAAACAUAACACAGAUAAACAUUUAUAAGCAAUUCAAAUAUUAAAGAACUUGAGCAUUUCUAAAGGCGUUCAUAUAUGAGGCCUUUUUCUUUCUAGGAUGUCAUUAUGGUUCUAUAGUUAUUUACAAAAUAUAGUUACUGAACUUCCUAGCUUUUAUAUUUGAAAGUAUGUGUUUAUUUCUGACAGCAAUAAAGCCAAUAUAUUAUGCAUUCAUACCAUCCCUUAUAAAAGUCCUUGGGGAGAGAUACACAGCUCACUGUUCCCUUUUAAGGUGAUGUCAUAGUGAAAUGGGACAGUUAAUUUAAAAAACUGUCACAGGUGUAGCUAACUCUUUCCAGUAAUCAUGGCUGAGGGGUGUUUUAAAUGCUGAUUCUGAUGUUAAGAGGCAAUAACUUUGCAGAAAAAUAUCUCCUUUCAGCUUUCUUGCAUCUAACAUUUGUUCCUCUAAUAUAGCUGUUAUUAAAAUGCUAUAGAACCUGAUUAGAGUACAUGCUACUGUGGUAUCCUGUCUCCUUUUUCUUUUUUUUUUCAUUCAGUUAUAUUAAAAUGUCAUUUUAACUUGCUCUAAGCCCUGAAAAAAAUUCCCCAAACCGACAAAUUAAAGAUGGAAACUAGAGAUGUAAGAAAUGUUCCAAAGAUCAGUUACUACCCCCCAUUACCUUCUACCACCCAUGAGGAAAGCCCUUCAUAAUAUGUCUUACAAAAUAACAAAUAGCACAUCUAUGAAUUGUUAAUCACAUAAGUCAAAAGUGCACACCCAACUUCAUCUGAAAGUCUAAAAUCAUCUCUUCUAUUAAAAAAGGAAAACAUGGUAUUGAAAUAAAUGAUGUUUGAGGAAGAUUUUAUUAUCUUGUUAUAGGAAAAACAAACAGAGAGUAGGUGACCAUGAAAUCGACAAAUUAACAAACAGGUUUCAGUUUAGUUGACAAUCCUUGUAACGAACUUAUUUUUGAAAGGUGUUGGCUAAAUUCUAUUUAAGAUGCACAAUUCUAUGUGAUGGAGGGAACUCUCAAGGAAAUUGUGAUCUUCAAGUUGAGUUAUGACAUGCACAUGAAUAUCAGCAGGACACUACCAUCAAGUGCUACUGAUUCGAAGGAAGCACACACAAGAGCUGUGGAGCUGGGAAGAGUUGAACAUGCUUGGUAACAAUUACAUCAUCCAUUCUGUACCCCAGAGAAAAGGUUCAUAAAAAGAAACAGUAUGGAAUAAAUUAGGAAAUAAGAGUCUAGAGUCUCUGAGUUUUCUAUGAAAAAUCUUGUCAAUUGUAUACAAUAAGCAUUUAUUAAGAAUGAGGUGGACAGCAGUGAGGGUGGAUGGGGUGGCAGUGUUCCUGGGGUCUGAAGCAGAGUAGAAUAACCAAAUGGUUAGAGUAAUCAUUGCAAUUGCAUAGGAUGUUGUUUUGAUGUUCUCUGCUUUAUUCUUUGGAUACACAUAUUGCUAGCUCCUCUGUGUUAUCUACUGUAUCUUUUGAGAAAUUUAUGAGAAGUCUCCUUUGCCUGGGAGGAAAAGGGGUGAGUAUGAGAUAUUUCUUACACCAUCUUUCUUACCACAGGCUCAGUUUAUUAAAGCUCAUGUUGGUGAACUGCACAGCUCUAUUUGAGUUUAAAGAGGCUAACUUCUCCUUUCUCUUGCCCUCUCAGACUGGUAGUGGAAAUAUGUUACCAAAAACCCCACAUUCCUACGGUUCCAUUACUUAACUCCUUGUCUUGCCUGUUGUCAAAUAUGCCUUUGAUUGGUACAGCUUUGAUGCCGUAUUAGUUUUAUGUGGCUGUGUCUUAGUUAGCUUUGUCAACUUGACACAGCCCAGAAUAACCUGAGAUGGGAGUCUCAAUUGAGGUAUUGCCCAAUGCCUUCUCUGUGGGAGACUGUCUUGAUUAUUAACUGAUGUAGGAGGGUCUGGCCCACUGUGAUCAGAACCAUUACUAGGGAGGUAGUCUUGGGCUGUAUAAGAAAGCUAGUUAAGUGUGAGCCUAUGAGCAAGACAACAGGUGGCAUCCCUCUGUGGUUUCUUCUUGAGCUUCUUCCCUGAUUCCCCUCAAUGACAGUCUGUGAUUUGGAAGUGCAAGCUAAAUAAGAGUGUUUUAUCACAGCAAGAGGAAGCCAGAACAGGACAUUACAAAAUUUCACUGUGAAACUGAUUGCUUAAAACAUCAUGCAUUCCACUAGAUUGGUUUGGUUCUCAUCCUCUAUCCCUUACCCUCCAUUGCCCACGCCUCAUCCUCACAUUACUCAUGGAGAUCUCAUCUAUUUCUCCUUCCCAGGGUGAUCCAUGCAUCCCUCUUUAGGCCCUCUGCAUAGGUGAGACAGUUGUGUAGCUUGAUCUGCUUAAGGGGCCCUGUGGUCCUGGUUCAUGAGGAGACUUUUUGGAGCCCACUACCUAUGGUGGAACACCUCAUCCAGCCUUGAGGCAGGGAGAUGGGCUUGGACCUGCCUUUAAUGAAUGAACCAGGCUAGACUGACUCCUCAUGG